GAUGAACGCUCGCGGCAGGCCUAACACAUGCAAGUCGAGGGAGAAGCCCUUUCGGGGGCAGAAACCGGCACACGGGUGCGUAACGCGUAUGCAACCUACCUUUCACAGGGGGAUAGCCCGAAGAAAUUUGGAUUAAUACCCCAUAAUAUUAUUGGAUGGCAUCAUUUGAUAAUUAAAACUGCGGUGGUGAAAGAUGGGCAUGCGUCCUAUUAGCUAGUUGGAGUGGUAACGGCACCCCAAGGCUACGAUAGGUAGGGGUCCUGAGAGGGAGAUCCCCCACACUGGUACUGAGACAGGGACCAGACUCCUACGGGAGGCAGCAGUGAGGAAUAUUGGUCAAUGGUCGGAAGACUGAACCAGCCAUGCCGCGUGCAGGAAGAAUGCCUUAUGGGUUGUAAACUGCUUUUAUAUGGGAAGAAUAAGGCGUACGUGUACGUUGAUGACGGUACCAUAUGAAUAAGCAUCGGCUAACUCCGUG
rnacentral:rRNA from 1 species